GCUGCAUUGAAGACCUAUUGCUGACCAUCUGCUGUUGUCUGUUCUAUGGUCAGGUUGUUGUCUCUUUGACACAUUCCCCAUUUCCAUACUCAAUUUUAUCUGCAUUCAGCUACAUAGCCAACAGUGAAGGCACAUGGACCUGCCUAUCUUGUUUCAAAACAAAAACUCAACAAAAAUGUAUGUUAUACCGAAUGGAGAUGACAGCAAGCAC
rnacentral:lncRNA from 1 species